AUCCAGCUGACGAGUCUCAAAUAGGACGAAACGCGCGUACCUGGAU
rfam:Schistosoma curassoni strain Dakar, Senegal genome assembly, scaffold: SCTD_scaffold0002113